GGACACUUUAAAAACAAGCCAGAUGGAAUGCCACUAAAUCCUUUGAGGGAUUUUGCUAAAGAACUGAGAUCAAGACUUACCUUUAUCCAACAACAAAUACAUAAACACUAUUAAUGAAGUUAAAAAAUGAAAGCAAUAAAAUUAAUAAGAAAACAAAAAAGCAAAUGUUCUGUUCCUUUGACUGUUUAUCACAAUAGAUCAACACCCCACGACAGACUCAUAAUGGACACAUAAAAUGGAUGUGAGACUCAGCUUUGAUCCUCUACCUACACCAGACAUAUAUGUACCCAAUUCCUGUACUCAAGUCCGGGCAACAAAUAUCAUAGAGUAAAUAUUAUCCAAACUUUAAA
rnacentral:misc_RNA from 1 species